rnacentral:rRNA from 1 species
UCCUACGGGAGGCAGCAGUGGGGAAUCUUGGACAAUGGGCGCAAGCCUGAUCCAGCCAUGCCGCGUGUGUGAUGAAGGCCUUAGGGUCGUAAAGCACUUUCGCCAGAGAUGAUAAUGACAGUAUCUGGUAAAGAAACCCCGGCUAACUCCGUGCCAGCAGCCGCGGUAAUACGGAGGGGGUUAGCGUUGUUCGGAAUUACUGGGCGUAAAGCGCACGUAGGCGGAUUAGUCAGUCAGAGGUGAAAUCCCAGGGCUCAACCCUGGAACUGCCUUUGAUACUGCUAGUCUUGAGUUCGAGAGAGGUGAGUGGAAUUCCGAGUGUAGAGGUGAAAUUCGUAGAUAUUCGGAGGAACACCAGUGGCGAAGGCGGCUCACUGGCUCGAUACUGACGCUGAGGUGCGAAAGUGUGGGGAGCAAACAGGAUUAGAUACCCUGGUAGUCCACACCGUAAACGAUGAAUGCCAGUCGUCGGGUAGUAUACUAUUCGGUGACACACCUAACGGAUUAAGCAUUCCGCCUGGGGAGUACGGUCGCAAGAUUAAAACUCAAAGGAAUUGACGG